GUGAAUUAAACAUGCUUGGUGUCUUCGCUUCGGCAAGGCCCUUGCUUAAAUCACAUCCUAACACCUGUGGACUGUAAGACGUAUGAUGAGGUCUUUGGCCAAGUCAUCGUCUGCCCAUUUUUAACAAACAAUUAAUGUAACAAACGUAGUCUUAUUAUAACCUAAUA
rnacentral:misc_RNA from 1 species